rnacentral:rRNA from 1 species
UACGUAGGUGGCAAGCGUUGUCCGGAUUUACUGGGUGUAAAGGGCGUGCAGCCGGAGAGACAAGUCAGAUGUGAAAUCCACGGGCUCAACCCGUGAACUGCAUUUGAAACUGUUUCCCUUGAGUGUCGGAGAGGUAACCGGAAUUCCUUGUGUAGCGGUGAAAUGCGUAGAUAUAAGGAAGAACACCAGUGGCGAAGGCGGAUUACUGGACGAUAACUGACGGUGAGGCGCGAAAGCGUGGGGAGCAAACAGG